UACGGAGGGUGCAAGCGUUAAUCGGAAUUACUGGGCGUAAAGCGUGCGCAGGCGGUUUGUUAAGUCUGCUGUGAAAUCCCCGAGCUCAACUUGGGAAUUGCAGUGGAUACUGGCAGGCUGGAGUAUGGUAGAGGAAGGUGGAAUUCCCGGUGUAGCAGUGAAAUGCGUAGAGAUCGGGAGGAACACCAGUGGCGAAGGCGGCCUUCUGGACCAAUACUGACGCUCAUGCACGAAAGCGUGGGGGAGCAAACAGG
rnacentral:rRNA from 1 species